AGUGGCGCACGGGUGAGUAACGCGUGGGAAUAUACCAAGUAGUGGGGAAUAACUCCGGGAAACUGGAGCUAAUACCGCAUACGCCCUUCGGGGGAAAGAUUUAUCGCUAUUUGAUUAGCCCGCGUGAGAUUAGGUAGUUGGUGGGGUAAUGGCCUACCAAGCCGACGAUCUCUAGCUGGUCUGAGAGGAUGAUCAGCCACACUGGAACUGAGACACGGUCCAGACUCCUACGGGAGGCAGCAGUGGGGAAUAUUGGACAAUGGGCGCAAGCCUGAUCCAGCCAUGCCGCGUGAGUGAUGAAGGCUUUAGGGUUGUAAAGCUCUUUCGCCGAUGAAGAUAAUGACGGUAGUCGGAGAAGAAGCCCCGGCUAACUUCGUGCCAGCAGCCGCGGUAAUACGAAGGGGGCUAGCGUUGUUCGGAAUUACUGGGCGUAAAGCGCACGUAGGCUGUGCCGCAAGUCAGGGGUGAAAUCCCGGAGCUCAACUCCGGAACUGCCUUUGAAACUGCGGUGCUAGAAUCUCGGAGGGGGUAGCGGAAUUCCAAAUGUAGGGGUGAAAUCCGUAGAUAUUUGGAGGAACACCGGUGGCGAAGGCGGCUACCUGGACGAGUAUUGACGCUGAGGUGCGAAAGCGUGGGGAUCAAACAGGAUUAGAUACCCUGGUAGUCCACGCCGU
rnacentral:rRNA from 1 species